AGUACGUGGGCGUAGACCCGAAACCGUGUGAUCUACCCCUGACCAGGGUGAAGGUGCGGUAACACGCACUGGAGGCCCGAACCCACGUCUGUUGAAAAAGCCGGGGAUGAGUUGGGGGUAGGGGAGAAAUUCCAAUCGAACUCGGAGAUAGCUGGUUCUCCCCGAAAUAGCUUUAGGGCUAGCCUCGGUGUGACUGUCGUGGAGGUAAAGCACUGAUGGGGUGAGGGGCCCGCCAAGGGUUACCAAGUCCCGUCAAACUCUGAAUGCCAUGAACAGGUCACCGGGAGUCAGACAGCGAGUGCUAAGAUCCGUUGUCAAAAGGGAAACAGCCCAGACCAUCAGCUAAGGUCCCGAAGUGUGUGUUAAGUGGGAAAGGAUGUGGAGUUGCACAGACAACCAGGAUGUUGGCUUAGAAGCAGCCACCAUUGAAAGAGUGCGUAAUAGCUCACUGGUCGAGUGACUCUGCGCCGAAAAUGUAACGGGGCUAAACACGCCACCGAAGCUAUGGCU
rnacentral:rRNA from 1 species